rnacentral:rRNA from 1 species
GACGAACGCUGGCGGCGUGCCUAAUACAUGCAAGUAGGACGCAGUUGCGAACGGGUGAGUAACGCGUAGGUAACUACCUAUUAGAGGGGGAUAACUAUUGGAAACGAUAGCUAAUACCGCAUACUAGUAGAUGGACCUGCGUUGUAUUAGCUAGUAGGUAGGGUAAUGGCCUACCUAGGCAACGAUACAUAGCCUAGCUGGGAGGGUUAUCGGGCACACUGGGGCUGGGACACGGGCCAGACUCCUGAGGGAGGCAGCAGGAGGGAAUCUUCGGCAAUGGGGGGAACCCUGAACGAGCAACGCCGCGUGAGUGAAGAAGGUUUUCGGAUCGGAAAGCUCUGUUGUUAAGGAAGCGGUACUUAACCAGAAAGGGACGGCUAACUACGUGCCAGCCGCCGCGGUAAUUC